rnacentral:rRNA from 1 species
UACGGAGGGUGCAACCGUUGCUCGGAAUCAUUGGGCGUAAAGAGCUCGUAGGCGGCUUGAUAAGUCGGAUGUGAAACCUCCAGGCUCAACCUGGAGUCGCCAUCCGAUACUGUCAUGGCUAGAGUCCGGUAGGGGCCCACGGAAUUCCUGGUGUAGCGGUGAAAUGCGCAGAUAUCAGGAGGAACACCGGUGGCGAAGGCGGUGGGCUGGGCCGGCACUGACGCUGAGGAGCGAAAGCGUGGGGAGCGAACAGG